rnacentral:rRNA from 1 species
UACGUAGGGUGCAAGCGUUAAUCGGAAUUACUGGGCGUAAAGCGUGCGCAGGCGGUUUUGUAAGUCUGUUGUGAAAUCCCCGGGCUCAACCUGGGAAUGGCAAUGGAGACUGCAAGGCUAGAGUUUGGCAGAGGGGGGGUAGAAUUCCACGUGUAGCAGUGAAAUGCGUAGAGAUGUGGAGGAACACCGAUGGCGAAGGCAGCCCCCCUGGGUCAAGAUUGACGCUCAUGCACGAAAGCGUGGGGAGCAAACAGG